ACAGCAACUAUGAAGAAGAAAACUCUCGCCUUCUCCCUCGAGCACCAGAACAAAACUCUCGAGCAAAUUUCUUGCCGGAUCUCCCAUCUCUCUAAUCAAAAGCCAAUCUCCAUCUCUCAUCUCUCAUCUCUCUUCGACAAACGCAGAACCACCUAUCCCCAUCUCUAACUCUUCAAUAAAUACAGCCAAACCAUCCAAACUAGCCAAACCAUCUCAGUCUCUCGAAACCAGUCAAACGUAUUGGUUCCCUAUUGUUGACUCAUCUCGGAGCCCCUUUUGCUUGAUCGACUCGAGUUCUCUCUGGUCCUUCUAGAUGAAGAACACACCCAAAAUACCAAAUCCCCAAAUCCAUCUGUGACUAGCGAAUCUGGAAUUCAGGAACAUCGCACUCAAACUCAACCCCAAAAGUCAACAACGCAAGGUUAUCCAUCUCUCCUCUCGCCAUCGCCACCCAUUUCUCUUUUGUCGCUCGCACACGCUUAAUUAGUUUGGGUCUACUUCUCGCUCGCAAUCGCUCUCAAGGUUCUCCAUCUCUGCUUUACAUUCUGCUUCAUUUAUAGAUCUGGUUUGUUUUCCCUUGAUUUCUGGAUAUAGUUUGGUUUGUUUUCAAUCCAGUUUGCCUAGGGUUUAUAUGAUUGCAUUUGGGUUACAAGAUUGGGCUUUUUAUUUAGUCAUUUCCCUCUCUCUCGACCCCUCAAGCUUGUUAAAGCUUCAAUUUUUGUGGAUUGUAUGUUUCAUUGCUAUCAUAUCUAUUUGGAUUUUUCUCUCUCUUCUUUUUUGCCUGGUUGUAGGUUGAAUUGUUCUGGUGAUGCUGAUUGAAAUUACUCGUGAAUAUGUAUUUGAGGUAUUGUAACAUUUCUACAUUCCCCCAUGUUAUUAGUUAUCAGAUUAGGUAGUUCUGAUGUUGACUGAUCGAGCAUCGCCGUAGCCAUUUGUCAUUCAGAAUACAAACAAGUAGUAACUCCGAUCCAGCAGGUGUGCUCAUUUUUAUCUACCACCCCAUUUUUAUUUUGACAUAGCAAAGUCUUUUACUCUUCUUAUGGUGGUUUAAGGCUGCAGAUUGUUUUUGCAUAUUAGUAAGUUUGCAUCCAAUAGAUGCAGACUGUUUUUGCAAGGCGGAUUGAUAUCUAGUGAUGUCAAGUGAAGGUCCUCUUGGUGCUUAUGUGAACCCCAGUGGUUAUUAACACGAGAUAGUGGCUCUCUACGCAACUGGCUUAGCACUCAUAGGUUCAACAGUGAAAGAAUACAGCUGAUUUCCUAGGUAGGACCUUACCUUUGAAACCAUAUAGUGUGAUUCCAAGUUAUUCAGGGCUCAGACCUUUGCAUGAUGGAUGUGUUGGACUAUAUCGUUUGAUGCAUUUAGGUUGCUGGUGUUUCUGUUUUGUGUUGGGACUGGGUAGCUCAAGACUACAUAAUGAAGGUUCGAUGUUGGAUAAGGAGUCCAGAAGUUCAAAGCGGGCGACAAAGUUGUAGCAUUUCACCAUGUGAGAAGAGCCUCUGCUUCAGAAUUGGAAUGAACAGAAGUAGUAGAAGAAAAUGCUAAUUAACAACUGAAGCUGCUCAAGGGACAAGGUUGUGUUAACUACUUGUUUCUAUGUACUUAUUAUGUUAAGAUAAUGUAUUGAUGACUUGUACAUUUGGAGUUGUUAAUAUGAAAAGAUCAAUAUAUAUAUAGUUAUAUACAUAUGAAACUUUUUCUUUGCCAA